AGCAGCCGCGGUAAUUCCAGCUCCAAUAGCGUAUAUUAAAGUUGUUGCAGUUAAAAAGCUCGUAGUUGAAUUUCGGGAUUAGUGCGCUGGUCAUGCCUUUGGUAUGUACUGGUGUUACUGGUUCCUACCUUCUGAAGAACCGUCAUGUCAUUCAUUUGGUGUGGCGGGGAAUCAGGACUGUUACUUUGAAAAAAUUAGAGUGUUUAAAGCAGGCUCGCGCUUGAAUACAUUAGCAUGGAAUAAUGAAAUAGGACGUUUGACCCUAUUUUGUUGGUUUCUAGGAUCGACGUAAUGAUUAAUAGGGAUAGUUGGGGGCAUUAGUAUUCAAUUGUCAGAGGUGAAAUUCUUGGAUUUAUUGAAGACUAACUACUGCGAAAGCAUUUUGCCAAGGAUGUUUUCAUUAAUCAAGAACGAAAGUUAGGGGAUCGAAGACGAUCAGAUACCGUCGUAGUCUUAACCAUAAACUAUGCCGACUAGGGAUCGGAUGAUGUUAUUUUUAAUGACUCAUUCGGCGCCUUAC
rnacentral:rRNA from 1 species